CCUAUACCUUGUAUUUGGUCUCCCUCCCUGGGCUCCAACUUCCCCUUUCACCGAAGGGCAGGCCCGGCAGUGGGGUGAGGUGCUGGGGCUCACUGGAAUUUUGUGACAUUUAGCUCAAGAGAGGAACCAGGAGAAACUGGGCAGAGGAAGGGUGGGGAUUGAAUUUUCCCCACAAGUGGAUCCCUACGCAAAUAUGGCACGCUACCUCCAUGGGUAGCAAUUUCCCCGUCACUGGAGAUAUUUAAAACUGGCCCUGAGUGACCUGAGUGCUACAGAAGGGAGCCCUGCUCAGAUCUAGCUUGGUCCCUUAGACACUGAGAAUGUAAGAUUCUCUGAACUCCUGACUAGUCCGGGGAGAAGGACCUUCCUCUGGCCAGACAUCCUUCAACCUCAGAAGAGAAAGACCAGAGAAUCCCCCAGGGGUGAUGGGCAGAGCCUAGUCCCCCAUCCUGAGUCAGAAUCUGGCAGCAUGACCCAGUCUUUCCCCUCCUGAACCACUGUUUCAUUGUCUGUGAAAGCUCAGUCAUAACCUUUGCUCGAUUUCCCUCUCAGAUUGGGUAAGCCUUUGGGGACCCAUUGAUAAUUUCAACUGAAGGAAGCCUGGAAGUCUUAGAAGAGCUGUACAGAGCCAGAGGAGGCCCACCGGGGAGGAAACGUGCUUGGCUUCCUUCUCUCUUGGUUGACCUCGUCUCCCGCCAUCUUGAACUGCAUCAACCUGCCCUGAUCCCUCACUUCCCCAACUCCUCCAAGUCUUGGAGUCUGAGGACCCUCAGCCUGGCUCAGUCAGCUGAGCCAGAUUCUAAGGUACCUUACCUCCCUUCUGCCCGGGCUGGCUCACCUCUGGAGUUCUGGGCUCAGCUCUAGCCAACAUGGUCUUCCUGCCCCCACAAGGGGUCUUGUGCAUCCCUUCCUCUGCUCAUGACAAUCACCUGCUACGAAUGAUCAAGGUGAGGAGGAAAGGCUAGGAAGAAUGGCAUAUCUGGGCAUCUGGGAGUAGGGGAUUGGUGGGGAGUCCUGGGGCUGUCAUUUGGCAGACUGCCAGCCUGGGCCAUGCCUCAUGGGACAGAUGAGACAACAAAGGCGUCCAGGACCCACAUCCUUCCAGGGCAUUGACGGCCAGGUUCCGGUGAGUCACUGGUACCCACUGGCCUUUCUGACGUAAGCUCCAUCACUUGGUGGCCAUGUCUGCCAAUGGUGUGUCACUACUGGGGAGCAAGGGAGAAUCAGAAAUGAUUAUUUCCAAUGGGGUGAAUAUUAUUAUCCACUUAACAGCUUCCUAAUUAAGGAAAUGCCAUUAAGGAGAGGAAAUGCAAAUUUGACCAAUC
rnacentral:lncRNA from 1 species